UACGGGAGGCAGCAGUGGGGAAUAUUGCACAAUGGGCGAAAGCCUGAUGCAGCUAUGCCGCGUGUAUGAAGAAGGCCUUAGGGUUGUAAAGUACUUUCAUCGGGGAGGAAAAAACAAAACUAAUAAUUUUAUUUCUUGACGUUACCCGAAAAAGAAGCACCGGCUAACUCCGUGCCAGCAGCCGCGGUAAUACGGAGGGUGCUAGCGUUAAUCAGAAUUACUGGGCGUAAAGAGCACGUAGGUGGUUUUUUAAGUCAGAUGUGAAAUCCCUGGGCUUAACCUAGGAACUGCAUUUUGAAACUGAAAUACUAGAGUAUCGUAGAGGGAGGUAGAAUUCUAGGUGUAGCGGUGAAAUGCGUAGAUAUCUGGAGGAAUACCUGUGGCGAAAGCGGCCUCCUAAACGAAUACUGACACUGAGGUGCGAAAGCGUGGGGAGCAAACGAGGGAUUAGAUACC
rnacentral:rRNA from 1 species